AGGGUUUGAUUAUGGCUCAGAACGUACGCUGGCGGCACGCCUAACACAUGCAAGUCGAGCGAAGUAGCAAUACUUAGUGGCAGACGGGUGAGUAACAUGUAGGUAUCUGCCCUUUGGCCUGGAAUAACACGAGGAAACUUGUGCUAAUACCGGAUAAGUCUUUACGGAGAAAGCUUUAUGCACCAUUGGAUGAGCCUGCACUUGAUUAGUUUGUUGGUGGGGUAAUGGCCUACCAAGACUGUGAUCAAUAGCUGAUUUGAGAGGAUGAUCAGCCACAUUGGGACUGAGACACGGCCCAAACUCCUACGGGAGGCAGCAGUGGGGAAUCUUGCACAAUGGAGGAAACUCUGAUGCAGCGAUGCCGCGUGAGUGAAGAAGGCCUUUGGGUUGUAAAGCUCUUCCGUCGGGGAAGAAAAUGACUGUACCCGAAUAAGAAGGUCCGGCUAACUUCGUGCCAGCCGCCGCGGUAAUU
rnacentral:rRNA from 1 species